rnacentral:rRNA from 1 species
ACCAGCAGCCAUAUCACCCUGUAACUCACAACUGGCAAUACACUGAAGCUAAGCAAGUGUGAGCCUGGUCAAUGCCUACAUGGGAGAUCUCCUGGGAAAAACUAAGGUUGCUGCUGGAA